rnacentral:rRNA from 1 species
GACGAACGCUGGCGGCGUGCUUAACACAUGCAAGUCGAACGGAAAGGCCCUGCCUUUGUGGGGUGCUCGAGUGGCGAACGGGUGAGUAACACGUGAGUAACCUGCCCUUGACUUUGGGAUAACUUCAGGAAACUGGGGCUAAUACCGGAUAGGAGCUCCUGCUGCAUGGUGGGGGUUGGAAAGUUUCGGCGGGUGGGGAUGGACUCGCGGCUUAUCAGCUUGUUGGUGGGGUAGUGGCUAACCAAGGCUUUGACGGGUAGCCGGCCUGGGAGGGUGACCGGCCACAUUGGGACUGAGAUACGGCCCAGACUCCUACGGGAGGCAGCAGUGGGGAAUAUUGCACAAUGGGCGGAAGCCUGAUGCAGCAACGCCGCGUGCGGGAUGACGGCCUUCGGGUUGUAAACCGCUUUCGCCUGUGACGAAGCGUGAGUGACGGUAAUGGGUAAAGAAGCACCGGCUAACUACGUG